ACGUCUCAAUAAAUUAGCGCGGCUUCAAUGUCAAGCCAAUGCCAUCAAUGACAAAAACGGUGCCGUUGGCUGUCGGUUGUCUUUUCAACAAUCUCGUGUAAAAUCAUAAAAUCAACGGAUGAGAUAAAUUCGCCACUGCACAUCAUCAACAGUAGUGUGGAACCGGAUAAAGGUCAACAUCCACAGGAAAACGAAAUAAUUCAGUAUGGUGGGCCACAAUUCAUAUUAAUUAACUCACCGUCGCCUUUCCCACUGGAAACACCAAGUGCCGAUGAUCAAAAAUAUCGCUUAAACCACUCGAAUCGAAAGACCAGGGAGGGGGGGAAAGGAAAAAAAAAGUUAAAAUCCC
rnacentral:lncRNA from 1 species